CCUACGGGUGGCAGCAGUGAGGAAUAUUGGUCAAUGGACGAGAGUCUGAACCAGCCAAGUAGCGUGAAGGAUGACUGCCCUAUGGGUUGUAAACUUCUUUUAUAAAGGAAUAAAACGAGGCACGUGUGCCUUUUUGCAUGUACUUUAUGAAUAAGGAUCGGCUAACUCCGUGCCAGCAGCCGCGGUAAUACGGAGGAUCCGAGCGUUAUACGGAUUUAUUGGGUUUAAAGGGAGCGUAGAUGGGUUGUUAAGUCAGUUGUGAAAGUUUGCGGCUCAACCGUAAAAUUGCAAUUGAUACUGGCAGUCUAGAGUACAGUUGAGGUAGGCGGAAUUCGUGGUGUAGCGGUGAAAUGCUUAGAUAUCACGAAGAACCCCGAUUGCGAAGGCAGCUUACUAAACUGUGACUGACAUUGAGGCUCGAAAGUGUGGGUAUCAAACAGGAUUAGAUACCCUUGUAGUC
rnacentral:rRNA from 1 species